UGCACCCUCUGGCCCCGCCGGCUGAUUACCGCCAGAGAUCGAGGGGGACCUCGCCGUCCCCCUAGAGGCCGUCAUAUGGGGUUACAGAGGCUGCGACCAAAGUCAUUCCUAGGUCUUCUCUCGGGGCCCCAGAAAGCCGUCCGCGCCUUCAGCCGCACUUUCAGCGCACGCAUGACCUGCCGCGCCCGGUGGCCACACCCGUCCCGUCUGCCGGGUGACGCUGCGGGAGAUCUUGCGCCCUGGGGCUCCGGAUCCAGUUCUGGCACGUUGUUGCACCUGUGACUUGUCCUUGGCCUGGCACUGUCCCUCGCCUGGGGGAAGUGGCGGGGGGGGGGGGGGGAUGCUCACGUGGUCGCUUUGCUCCCGCAGUCAUGCACUUGGGUGAAAACAGACUGAAGAGUCACGGGAACCAGCUUGUCUCCCUAGUUAUGGCGCAGAGCUGCAAGGAUGGCUGUGGGUCAUUAAUUUCUCCGUGGCUGACCUGUGUUUGUAACGCCGCAGCUGUUGCGAGGGGGAAGGACACUGCUUCGGAUUCAAAUUCUGACUCCUUGCUGCAGUGUGUCACCUUGAGCAAGUCCCAGAUCUCUGCGUUCUCACAAUUGUAAAAUGUUGACAGUGGCUGCCUACCUUGUGGCUGGAAUUAAAUGAAUUAACGUGUGUGAAUAUGACUAGAAUUCAGUAUAUGUUCAGGAAAAGCUGAUUUCCGCUUUGCUGUUACCGUGAAUAUUCCUGUUUUAGGAUGUAGAAAAGGGUGGAAGGGGAUGUUAUUGCAUCCUGGAAGCUUAUCCUUUUGAGGUAAAGAUUGAUUUCUGGUCCCCUGCAUGGUAUAUAGUGUAGUUUUGACAUUAUUUAGAUGUGUUACGCACAUUUGGGUGUUGAUUAUAUGGCUUACGAUCAAGACUAACCAGUCAUGCCAUGGGAGAUUAAGGUCGUGGUCUCUUGUCAGGAUUGUGGUGAGAUUUAAAAAUUCCAGCCAGAAAUACCAGGCUUAGAAUGCUCUGAAGCCCUCCCCACAUUUUUGCCAUCUCUAGCAGGAGGGCACUGCAUAGCAGAAACAAAGACGUUGUAAAUUGUUGCUGCCUGAGUCAUUUAUAGAGGCUUAAACAACUUGAAUGUCCUCUGACCUACCUAUAACAUUUGAUGGAGUUGUAUGAGUAACUUACAAAAUUGUAGGUCCCAAGGUCGGUCUGAAAAAGAAAGUUCAUAUCCGGGAGCACUGACCCUGUAGUGUAAUCCUGGCACCUUAAAACGUACUGCUCCCUCCACCUUGACGUCAAGGUUAUGAAAACAUUGAGUAAAAAGGAUGAUCUGUUCAAAGUCCUUAGUGUUCUGCCAAUUUAAAACAGUAAUUUUCAAAGCAGUUAUUUGCAAGGAAAUUGCCUAGAACUUCUCCCAGUGUGCGGUUGUUUUGUGUGUUUGUGUGUGUGUUUUGUUUGUUUGUUUGUUUUCAGUCUGUCCACAGGUGUACUUUUAUAGGUCUGUGAUAGUAGGUAGCUCUUCAAGUUGGCAAACACCUGCUGGACAACCCCUGAGAGAUUCAUCUCAGUGAGAGAGCACUCUCCAGCCCCAUCGGAGUGGGUUUGCAGGGAAAUCAUAAGGAAGAAAUCCUUAUCUUUCCAACACUGAGAUGCCUCUGCCGAAGGGUAGAAAGGGAGUGAGAGGACAUGCAAAACGGGCUGCUGUCGGAGGAAGAGGAACAGGGUUGCGGCUCAUGCCAUGUGAAUGGGCUCACUGGCCUGGCCGAGACCCUGACAGCCCACAGGAUCUUUGACAGAGAAACGGAGGCACAGAGAAGGAAGCGACAGUUAAAGCUGCGAAGAACCUAACAAAUUUCAAGAUUGUAAGUGCCUUUUCCCAGGAUGCCAGCAAGUACUGAGCUUGUAUUUUGAACUGCGUCAAACCCUGUUGGAAUAAAAAAGGACAUUUCUAGGAGAUCAGUCUUCAAGAUUGGCCCCAGUUUCCCCAGAGUAGGAAGAGGCAGGAAGCCAGAGCACAUGUUCUCUCCAGAAAUAAAGUUGUUGCAGUGGC
rnacentral:lncRNA from 1 species